rnacentral:lncRNA from 1 species
CUUUGCAAUCAAAUCCUUCUUCUCAUUCUUCUCUUCCGUUUCGAAAACCCCAAAUACAAACUCCAUCUUCCUCAAUUAUUUAAUCGAAACCGUAAAUAUUCCCAAAUCACGAGCCCUUGUGAUCUCAAACCAAUUCUCACGCAUUAAAACCCUUGAAAAACCGCAAACUGUGUCUCAAUUUUUGCACAGUGUUGGAUUCUCUGACACCCACAUUCAAUUGGCAGUUCAUACAAAACCCACUAUUCUCUUCGCUGAUGUUAACAAAACCCUUAAACCAAAGAUCGCAUAUUUCCAGCAGCUGGGCCUCGUGGGUUCUGAUUUGGGUAAGUUUAUUUCCAAGUAUCCAAAUGUUUUAACUGCUAGUUUAGAGAGAAAAUUGAUUCCAUGUGUUGAAAUUCUUAAGAAAAUUUUAGCGGAGGACUCUAAUAAUGAAGAUUUGAUUCGUGUUAUUCGUAGAAUGAGUUGGGAUCUUGUGGUAAUAGACCCGGAGAAAUCGGGGUUGUUAAGAAACAUUGAAUACUUGAAAAGCUGUGGCAUUGUUGGGUCUCAGCUGUCAAUGUUAUUAGUGAGGCUACCUAGGCUAUUUUGUUUUAAUGAUUUGAAACUUAGACAGCUUGUUUUGCGGGUUUUAGAUAUGGGCUUUUCGACUGACUCUAGGAUGUUUGUUCAUGGAUUGGAUGCACUUUGCCGCUUGAGUGAAAAAACAUUUGAUAGAAAAUUGGAUUUAUUUAGGAGCAUGGAUUGGAUGCACUUUGCACUGACUCUAGGAUGUUUGUUCAUGGAUUGGAUGCACUUUGCCGCUUGAGUGAAAAAACAUUUGAUAGAAAAUUGGAUUUAUUUAGGAGCUAUGGAUUCUCAAAAGAAGAGUGCAUUGAAAUGAUUAGGACAGCACCUAGAUUGCUUAGUGCGUCGGAGGAGAGGUUGAAGUCUGGACUUGAUUUCUUCUUGAAAAAGAUUGAAUUUGGAAAGGCGGUGCUGGUUCGUAUGCCCUGCUGCAUGAUGUACAGCAUUGAAAAUCGAGUGAUUCCUCGAUAUAGGGUUUUUCAAAUUGUUAUGGUGAGGAGGAUGUUGAAGAAGGAUUGGAGUUUUCCUUCAGUACUGGUUUUGAGUGAGGAGAAUUUCUUGAACAAGUAUGUGCUGAGUUUUGGAGAUGAUGCAGAGGAGUUGUUGCUAGCUUACAAGGGCCACAAGUUGGGUUCUUCUUCUAAAAAACAACUAUUUCAGUGAGGGUGGUUUUUCUGCCUGACGCAAAUCCACAGGUCUGAUGUUUUUUCAGGCCCUAUAACAGGACUAUCCAAGAGUAGCUUAUGGUAUGCAAGAACAAUAUCAAGUGGCUUGUUUCACAAUCAUAAAGUGGUUUCUUCUGGGCAUUUCAACGUUCUUGCUGCUUUGUGUUUGCUGGCAUCAAAUGAAUGGUGAAUUUCCUUUAAAAGAGCACUGCUGGAGAUAAAUGUAAGCUCGGUGCCAAUAUUAGACAAGUCUUUGAUGAUCUCUGUUCUAUACCUGCUUGAAAUUUUGCUUGUAUGUCUUGGAAUUACACUUUUUCUUCCUUGACCCAAUUCUUGUUAAUUCAUCUCGUUUGAGCCUUCCUGUUUCGGGUUAAUCUCUCUCUCUCUCUCUCUUUUCUUUUUUCCAACUGAAAACUUCCAAUUUCGUGUUAAUCAUUUUCUUUUCAACUGAAAAUUUUCUUGCAGGCAAACACUUAAAUUGAUUAUUUUGAUGUUGUUUGAGUUUGAUCUUCAAUUGAAAAUGAUUCUAAUUCUUUUGUGUACUCAAAUGUGUUUAAUGCUGAGAGAGAGGCAUAGUUCCUAAUGGCAAAUGGGUAGUAAGGAACUAUGGUAGCUUAAAGAUGUCACAUUAUUGAUUCAUCGUCACAUUAUUUGAUUCAUCUACUUCUCCAAAUGAAGAAUCUUCAUGCAACUUUCCUCUCUGGGACAUUUUGAAGACUGCGCAAGUAACAAGAAGUUAUUUUUCAGUUGCAUAACUAACACUAUCCUGCCUAAUGUGGCCGUAUAACAUCAGCAGUAAAGAAAUUUUAUGGUACCUGAAAUUGUCACUUUUAAAAUGCUUUCCCUAGUUCUCAUGAUGUUUAGAUCUUGUAAGUGUUUCCUAUAACUUGAGAUUGAGUUGCAAUUUUUAAUUAGUUAGUUUAUAGUUUGGUUUUUAUUUUCUGAUAAUAAAAUUUCAUACAGUGAAGCUAAAUUUUGAAUUUUGAACAUACCGUCAAAUAUUGAUUCAAGAUCUACGUGAUGAUGUAAGUUGGGGUUCAGGAAUGGAGAAUUGGAGAACCAUCAUGUGUGUGUAGUAAAUUAAGUCGGUAACUCCCAUUUUAAUUGCCAGAUUAAAAAACUUUUGAAGUACCGGGUUUUUUUAACUUACAGAAAGGCUUAUGUGAGAUCAAAAUUUACAUCUUAUAUAAUUUUUUAAGGAGUUUUUGUACUUUUCUAAAAAUUAAUUAAUUAAAAUUGUGUGCUAAUAUUUUCAAUUAAGUUAACUAUAAUAUGUAUUUUUUUCUCUCCUGAUUUUUAACCCAAAAAUAAUAAUAAUAAUAAUAAUAAUAAUGAAAAGAAAAGAAAAACAAAAAACAAGGAAAGCCCUAACAUCCUAAUCCCGCUCUCCAGCGGAAACAGUCCCAAAAUGCAGAGACUCAAACUCAAUCCAUUUCCAAAUUCCCAAAACUUUGCGAUCAAAUCCCUUUUCUCCUUUUUCGCUUCUCUUUCGAAGACCCCAAACUCGACAAACUUCAUCUUCCUCAAUUUCCUAAUCAAAACCCUAAACAUUCCAAAAUCACGAGCUCUUCCGAUCUCGAACAAAUUCUCACGCAUUAAAUCCCUUGAAAAACCGGAAACCGUGCGUCAAUUUUUGCACAAUGUUGGAUUCUCUGAUACCCACAUUCAAUUGACUGUUACUUCAAGACCUACAAUUCUAUUCUCUGAUGUUGACAAAACGCUAAAACCAAAGAUUGAAUUUUUCCAGCAUCUGGGUCUUGUGGGAUCUGAUUUGGGUAAGUUUAUUUCCAAAAAUCCAUCUCUUUUCGCUGCUAGUUUAGAGAGGAAAUUGAUUCCUUGUGUCGAAAUUCUUAAGAAAAUUUUAGUGGAUGACUCUAAUAAUGAAGAUUUGACUCGUGUUUUUCGUAGAUGCUGUUGGAAUCUGAUAAUGGACACAGAGAAAUCAGGGUUGUUAAGGAACAUUGAAUACCUGAAAAGUUGUGGCAUUGUUGGGUCUCAGCUCUCAAUGUUAUUAGUGUGGCAACCUAGGCUAUUCUGUUACAAGGAAUUGAAAAUUAGACACCUUGUUUCGCGGCUUUUAGAUAUGGGAUUUUCAACUAACUCGAGGAUGUUUGUUUAUGGAUUGGUUGUACUUAGUUGCUUGAAUGAAGAAACAUUUGGUAGGAAAUUGGAAUUAUUUAGGAGUUACGGGUUCUCAAAAGAGGAAGUUCUACAAAUGUUUCGGAAGGCACCUUUAAUACUUAAGGCGUCUGAAGAGAGGUUACAGUUGGGACUUGAGUUCUUUCUGAAAGAGAUUGAAUGUGAAAAGUCAGUGUUGGUUCGUAUUCCGAUUUGUUUAGCGUGUAGUAUUGAAAACCGGGUGAUUCCUCGAUAUAGGGUUUUUCAAAUUAUUAUGUCAAGGGGGAUGUUUAAGAAGGAUUGUAGUUUUCCUUCGAUGCUGCUUUUGAGUGAGGGUAAUUUCUUGCAGAAAUUUGUGCUGAGUUUUGGAGAUGAUGCAGAGGAGUUGUUGCUAUCUUACAAGGGCCACAAGUUGGGUUCUUGAUCUGGAGAGGAACUAUUGCAGUGAGGGUAGUUGUUCUGUGUUAACCAAACCUCUAAGGCCGGUGUAUUUUCAGGCCCUGUAAUAGAAGGGUCCGAGGGUAGCUGAUAGUAUGCAAUGAUAACAUCAAAUGGAUUUCUUCACCUAUCAUGAAUUGGUUUCUGGGCAUUUCAAUGUUCCUUCGGCCAUGCGUUUGAGCACCAGAGAUUUCGUAGAUAGUUUUACUGCUUAUUUGGCUAGGUAGCAUAUUGAAGAAGAGAUCGAAGCAUCGAACAAAAACUGAACUACCCUGUAAAAUAGCUCUGCCGGCGAUGAGCGUAAGUUCUGUACCGAUAUCAGAUAUGUCUUUGAUGAUCUCGGUUAUGUAUCUGCUUGAAAUUUUGCUGGUGUUUCUUGGAUUUAUAUCUGUUCGUUGUUCCUUGACCCAAAUCUUGUUUAUUCAUCGAUCAUUUUUUUUCAAAUAAAAUUUCCUGCAAGGAAAUACCUCAAUUGAUUAUUUUCAGUAGUUUUUCUCACGGUUUGAGUUUGAUCUUCAAUCGAAAAUGAUUCCAAUUCUUUGUGUUCUCAAUAUGUUUAAAUGACGGGAAGAGAGGACGCAAAACGAAAAGUGUUUAGCCAAUGACAAUACCAAACCCACUCCAGAGGGUCACAUUAAAUUACAUCAGAAAACUUUUGCACAAUUCAUAAUAAACUAAUGUUUUCACAAUUUUAAAGAAUAGAUCGAUGAUUAUAACUUUAAAUUAACGGCAGGACACUCUUUCAUAUUCAUAUUAUUAAACUUAUAAUAUAUCCUUUUACUAUUUAUUACUUUGUACAUGGAAUUAUAAUUUAUACUUUAUUUUAGAACUAACAUGACAUAAAUUAAAAUUUAUCCUUUGACAAAAAUAAGGAUAAGUAGCAUGUAUGGAGAUGAGGACAAGGAAGUAACGAAACACAGCCCACAUGGGUGUAGUUGUUAAGUGUAAAUGGGCGAGGCAAUAUGUGAUUUGAGAUUCGAAUUAUGGAAAUCCUAAUCUCUUUGUUUGUACUUUAAACCCUAAAACCUUUCUGACUCCACUCAAGACAAUCCCAAAAUGCAGAGAGUCAAAUUCAUUCCGAAAUUCCCAAAACUUUGCAAUCAAAUCCUUCUUCUCAUUCUUCUCUUCCGUUUCGAAAACCCCAAAUACAAACUCCAUCUUCCUCAAUUAUUUAAUCGAAAACGUAAAUAUUCCCAAAUCACGAGCCCUUGUGAUCUCAAACAAAUGCCCUCGCAUUAAAUCCCUUCAGAAUCCGCAGAAUGUACGUCAAUUUUUGCACAGUGUUGGAUUCUCUGACACCCACAUUCAAUUGGCAGUUUAUACAAAACCCACUAUUCUCUUCGCUGAUGUUAACAAAACCCUUAAACCAAAGAUCGGAUAUUUCCAGCAGCUGGGUCUUGUGGGUUCUGAUUUGGGUAAGUUUAUUUCCAAUUAUCCAACGGUUUUAA